rnacentral:lncRNA from 1 species
CUGAUCUGUCCACCUGGAACCAGCUGGGGCUAUAGCCACACCGGGCUGUGCUCCAGCUUCUGAGGCCUCUGCUGGGGAGUCCCCGAGAGCCCUCUGAGCUCUGCCUUUCGCACGGUCUCUCUAGCAGGUGGAGAGGGGAUGCUGGUGGCUGAGAACCACUGCGGGGCGGGGUGGACAGUGUGAGCCUGGGCUCUCAACACCAGCCAUGCAUUUCGGCAUCCCUAAUUCUUUGUUUUGCCUUUAAUCUUUAUUAAAUUACUGUCGAAACUAACUCACUCUUCAUAAUUUUCACAAAGUAGUCUAGGUGAAAUAAAACAGACUUUGGAGCCAGAAGAAUCGAAAUAAAAUUCUCAUUUCCCAAUUACUUGCUGUGCUACCUGGUACAAAUGACUUGGCCUGUCUGAGCCUGUCUGCAUUUUUAAAAGGAAGUAACGACACCUGCCUCAUGAUACAGCUGAAAGGACUAAGUUAGAUGAAAUGUCUCUGGUCCUGAGCAGGGCACCAGUGGUGCCCACGGUGCCGGUUACUGGGGUGAGUGUCACUUGUGUUGAACUGAGCAGGGGGCCAAGCGCCAGUCCUGGGCUGUAUCUGUAUCUCCACGGAAGAUCAAAACGUGGGGGCCGAGGAGUCCUCUAUGGAUUGUUUCUUCUGAACAGAAACAGUGUGUGAAGUCAAGCGGGGGAGCCCUCCCUUUCCAGAAGCGAGUCAUUGAAGAAAUGCCCCUGUGCGGACUCCCCACACGUUAGCACUGGCGGCCAGGCCGGCCUCCCAUGGAGAGCCCCUCUUCAGAGCCACCUUGCCCCCAUUUCCCCCUCAACUGCUCAGCUCACUGGGGAGGAAGGCAGCGAAGUUGUAAAAACUUACUUUUUGGAAAAAUAAGAAUUAUGGGGAAGGACAUUAAUUUAAAAGCUUUUAAGGAGCCAAUUCACCUGUGAAAGUGCUCCCCAGGUGAGGGCCUUCCUGUGUGGAGAACAGCCCGGUCUUUAAAAGCAUUUUAAUUAAUGUUGCUGAGAAACACGCUGAUGGUAUUUAAGUCUGAAGAGCAAAGGUACCAGCCAAGAGUUUUAUGACGUGGUGCUAGUUCUCUUAAAGGCUGUUGAAAUAAUGUUCCCGUGCACUCAGCCUCCCCACUUAGUGCGGGUGGCGGCCAAGAGGAAGUGCUGGAAUCCUCGGUGGCCUAACCCCGGCCCUCAGGACAGAACAGAAGGCAGGCGGCCCCGGCCAGGACAUGCCCAGUGGAAUUUCAGAGGCACUUUCGGGAACACAGCGCCUUCGCACCUUCUGCUCGGUACACACCUCGAGGGGUGGCAGCCAGCUCUUGGCGGCCCACCCAGCACCCUGAAGCCUGAACUGCCUGGACUGUCGCUGAGCAAAUGCCAGGGCCCGAAGAGGACCUGGAAGAGGGCGGGUGAGGGGCUGCAGGCGUGUGGGGCCUGGAUGAUCCCAUCUUGACGACGAGCUGGGAACCGCAGACCGGUGUCAUCCUGGCUGGAGAUGGAGGUCUCUACAUGGCUCCCUGUGUGGCCAGACCACUGUGGCUGGACCAGAGUUUCCCGAUAGCCUCUGGGAAUGGCAGGGACAGUGGGGGAGGAGGUCCCAGGGGAUUUUAUUAACAGAAGGGGGGAGAGAGGGUAGAGAAAGGUAAUGGGAACAAGUAGCUGAAAAUAUGCCCUGGAGAGCAGGGGAGGAGGCUGAGCAGGCAACUUCAAAAGGGAUGGAAGAAAAUGGGGGCUGCGGAGAGUUGAAGAGUGACCCCAAAAGAUAUGUCCAUCCAGAACCUCAGAAUGUGACCUUGUUUGGAAUAAGGGCUUUUGAGGAUAUAAUUCAGCAGCCCGGGGGCACAGGCACGCAGAAGAGACUUUCCCACAGCGGUUCCCAGAGCCCUGGAUGAGGCGUCCUCCAAAGGAUUAUGUCACCAAGUUUCUGCAGUUCUUUGCAGAUUCAGAAUCUAGAUGACUACUAACGAGCGUGAAGCGCCUGGUGGUUUUGGAAGUAAGCCUUCCCAGACUUCAGAACCCACGUGAGUCCCCCGACUACAAAGAGCAUAUUUUAGCUGCUGAGUGAGGGAGCAGCCAGUGGAAUCCCAUGGCCGUGUGUUAGUCUGGGCUUCCCUGAAAACAGGGAAGGGAGACUUGGAUGCAAGUGGUUUAGUUGGGAGGAGACGCCAGGUGAGGCUUGUGACCUGGGAGAGAGAGCAGGGAGGAGAGCUGAGUGGGAGGUCAGUGAGCAGAGUCCUGGUGUGGUCAUUGGGACUCAGCCCCAGGAUCCUCUGAGGAACUGUUGUUCCCCCAAGGGACUCUAAAGCAGGCUGCAUGCUUCAUUGGCUCUGGCGUUAAGUCCCUGGUACUUCUGGGCUGCCCUACGGAGGGCUAAGCAGUUCCUUUGGCCAGAGAAAGCCCCCAGGCAGGGAGCAGAGAAUGCAAUACGUAGCAUUCCAACUGGUUCCUGGAUGCAAACUCGAUCCCCCAUUGCAUCAAGCUGGUGUGCCACAGAGCACCUGCCACGUGUCGGGCAGGGUCCCAGGGACCAGGAAUGUCAGGGAGCAGGAGACCGAGCAAGCAUGUUUCUUGGCGCUUCCAUCCAGAAUAUAGUAAAUAUGAAAAUCUCAUAGUAUACAACAUGGUAAUGAGAGCUACAGAAAAAAGGAAGAGCGAGGGUGGGUGAGGCAGGGGUACUGUGGGGGAGGGGGGACCAAGGGGACACUGAGAAGUGGACAUUUGAGCCAAGACUUGAAGGUUCCAUUUGAGGGCCAUUUGGGCAGUGGCUGUUGGCCACGAGAACCAUCACCAAUGUGGCAUCUCCUGGGCUGUGCAGGGUCACCUGGUGCCAUCGCAGGACCUGCUGGUCACAUCAGAGCUUCCUGCUGCAAGUGGGGCCGGGAGCCUGGGCCUCUGAUGCCCACAUGGACCCAUCCAGGACUUGGCCCACCCACUGAGCAAACCCAGGCAUCUCUUCCUGGUUUCAACGAGUCAUGCACCCACCUCGAAGACUCCUCCCUCUUUUGUCCUCUCGCGGAGCCCAGUCACAAGAGAGUUCAAAGAAAUCGGCAGGUCAGUCAGUGGGUGGGCAGGUAGAGACUCUCAAGAUUAAUCAGAGAAAUCGCCCACUGAAUGGGUGCUCUUAGGUCUGUGCCAAGGGCUUCUGUAACAAACUGCCCUGACCUGGGGUCUUAAACAACAGAAAUGCAUUUCCUCACAGUCCUGGAGACCAGCCAGUCCAAAGCCAAGGUGUCCACAGGGCCACGCUCUUCCCACAGCCUCUAGGAGAGAACUGGUUCCUUGCUUCUCAUCCAGUUUCUGGAGAUGCUGCCACCCUUGUGGUCCUAGGCUUGGCGACAUGUCCACCCUCGUGGUCCUAGGCUUGGUGACGUGUCCACCCUCAUGGUCCUAGGCUUAGGUAUGUGUUGCUCCACCCUGCGCCUCUGUCUUCACGUCACCUUCCCUUCUCUGCAUCUGUCUCCUUCUCUUUAUGAAGCCUCCUGUCAUUGGAUUUAGAGCCCACCCUAAUCCAGGAAGAUCUCAUCUCAAGAUUCUUAAUUGCAUCUGCAAAGACCCUUUUUCCGAACAAGAUCCCGUUCACAGGCUCUGGGCGGGCAUAUCUUUUAGAGGCCACCAUUCAACCCACUACAGCCUGCAUGGGAGACUGAGAAAUGACAGGCUUUUGGGGACAAUUUACACUUUUAAGCCACAUAUUAUAGUACCAGCUUUCCUGCCGCAGGUGGGGCUGGGAGUCUGGGUCUCUCAUGCCCACAUGGGGCCCAGCCAGAACUUGGCCUACUGAACAAACUACAAAAAUCUCUCUUCUUGUUUCAAUGGAUAAUGCACCUCCCUUGAAGAUCCAUCCUUUAUUUGUCCUUCAGUGGCACCCCAUGGCAAUUGUUCUGAAGUAUUUACUGACAAAAUAUCCCUGCCUGUUGGUUCAUCUUCCAGCUUGUCUCCAUAAGUGACAAUGAUUUGGGUGAGCCAGGGUGGAUUUCUGCAGGCUCCUGGACUCAAGCCUUCCUGAACUCAUCCCCUCACUCUCUCUCCCAAUCUCAGCCUGUGCAUUUAGGUCCUGCCCUGGAAUAUGGCCAGGCGGGUAAUCUUGCUUGUGGCCACACUCCUCUUCCUGGGACCUGAGCCUGCCCUCCUGCUCCUGAGUAGUUCAUUGUGAUGCUGUCUGCUGUGGCUGUGGAGUGCUACGCGCUGGCCAGCCUGAGGGCGACCUGUACCGCCUUGGCCAAACCCUUUACCCCACUGAGAGAUACCUCCCUCAUCUGCAGCGAGAGUCCCUACCUUGUAGGGCAGUGUGAAGGAUGUCCUGAGAUGGUCAGGACUUAGCACCCUGUAAGCACAAGAGCUGUUCUUGGUGGCGUUAUGAUCACACCCACAGAUAGGGCCUCAGGCAGGCCUCAGUGUCCUCCUGGCUGGCCACGUGCUACGGAUGUCCCCAUGCACUUGAUGUGUCAGCAGCAGAAGGACCUUCAGGAGGAGGCAACGAUGGGAUGAGACGAGGCUCAAAGGAGGAUGUUGCCGCGCAGAGACGUUUCGGGAAUAUGAGGCAGGUCACCACCUAUGAUUCUUGUGGUAGUGGAGGAAUGGUGGCGGCUGUCAUUGUGACACCCACUUUAGAGACAGGAAACUGAGCUUCAGAGAGGGGGAGUCCAGGCCCCACAGCACACAGCCAGGAAAGGGCCGGGCAGAAGGGGCUUUGGGUUUUAACCUAACUCACCCCGACUGCCUGCUUCUUCACCCAGCCAUCAUGGAACGUCUCUGUGCCUCUUCCCUGCUCUCGUGGAGGCCUGGGUCAGGCAGCUGCCCAGAGGCAGACGUGCACUGUGACCCUAGAAGACUGUUCCAGACAGGCCAGCCCAGGCAGAGACAAAACAGGGACCUGCUCCUCAUUGGUGUCACGACCAAAUGCAGGGGAUUUGCUAAGGGAGGCGCAGCCAUGAAUUGGGAGCCAGCUUCGUGCUCUGCCACUCCUUCUUGCUAAUCCCUCGAAAAUCCAAUCAGAGCUGUUUCCCUCCAUGAAACCAACUGGACACAGCACAUACUGGCCGGACCUCUGCCAGCAUGGAGUGGAUCUUUUUUCUGUUUAAAGAACCAGGUUUCAAAUGUUCUUAAUAAAACGUUUAUAUAUAUCAUGCAGGGUGCAAAUAAAUAUUUUAAUAUAAUUGGAAGAAUGUAGAGAAUUGUAAAAAGUUAUGGAAGUUUUACUUCUGAUUGGCCAAGACUCAAUAAACUCUGGUUUGAUGUACUCUAAUUUAUAGGCGUGCAAAGCCAACUCUUUGGCAUCAGAGAGGCCGUUAACGUUGUAAUGAUGUUUAAACGCUGACAAAUGAGCUGCUUGGGCGGCACCUUCAGCCCUGAGAAUGGAACUGUUGGAGCUGGAGGACUUGCCUGUCCCCAGCUUUCUCCCUUCCUCCCGUGCUGGUGGAGCAGGUUAAGGGCAGGAGGACUGUUCAUUGGGGCGACUGCUCCCCAUCGGUUGAGGGGAGGGCACAAAGGGGACCCAUGGCUUCUUUUUCACUGUUGUCCCUAAUUAUGGUCUUUCUCAUUAAAAUAACAAGG